UGGGGAAUAUUGCACAAUGGGGGAAACCCUGAUGCAGCGACGCCGCGUGGAGGAAGAAGGCCUUCGGGUUGUAAACUCCUGUCGUAAGGGACGAUAGUGACGGUACCUUACAAGAAAGCCACGGCUAACUACGUGCCAGCAGCCGCGGUAAAACGUAGGUGGCAAGCGUUGUCCGGAAUUACUGGGUGUAAAGGGAGCGCAGGCGGGUCUGCAAGUUGGAAGUGAAACCCAUGGGCUCAACCCAUGAACUGCUUUCAAAACUGCGGAUCUUGAGUGGUGUAGAGGUAGGCGGAAUUCCCGGUGUAGCGGUGGAAUGCGUAGAUAUCGGGAGGAACACCAGUGGCGAAGGCGGCCUACUGGGCACUAACUGACGCUGAGGCUCGAAAGCAUGGGUAGCAAACAGGAUUAGAUACCC
rnacentral:rRNA from 1 species